rnacentral:rRNA from 1 species
AGAGUUUGAUCAUGGCUCAGGAUGAACGCUGGCGGCGUGCCUAAUAUAUGCAAGUCGAGCGGUAAGGCUCUGCACUUAGUAUUUGAUCGUAAGGCCUUCGGGCCUCCAAGCGAAUCGACUAGACCCUAGGCUAGGGAAAAGAAGAAGAGUGGAGAUGGAAUAAUGAGUGUAGAGUACACGAGCGGCGGACGGCUGAGUAACACGUAGGGACAUACCCCAAAGUGAGGGAUAACUGCUCGAAAGAGUAGCUAAUACCGCAUGUGCUCUAAGGAGUAAAGCUUCGGCGCUUUGGGAAUGGCCUGCGCAUGAUUAGUUUGUUGGUGAGGUAAUGGCUCACCAAGACUUCGAUCAUUAGCUGGUCUGAGAGGAUGAUCAGCCAGACUGGGACUGAGACACGGCCCAGACUCCUACGGGAGGCAGCAGUAGGGAAUUUUCCACAAUGGGCGAAAGCCUGAUGGAGCAACGCCGCGUGCAGGAUGAAGGCCUUCGGGUUGUAAACUGCUUUUAUAUGUGACGAAUAUGACGGUAGCAUAUGAAUAAGGAUCGGCUAACUCCGUGCCAGCAGCCGCGGUCAUACGGAGGAUCCAAGCGUUAUCCGGAAUUACUGGGCGUAAAGAGUUGCGUAGGUGGCAUAGUAAGCAAGUAGUGAAAGCGUGUGGCUCAACCAUACUCACAUUAUUUGAACUGCUAAGCUAGAGGACAGGAGAGGUUAUUGGAAUUCCCAGUGUAGGAGUGAAAUCCGCAGAUAUUGGGAGGAACACCGAUGGCGUAGGCAGAUAACUGGCCUGUUCCUGACACUAAGGCACGAAAGCGUGGGGAGCAAACGGAAUUAGAUACCCUGGUAGUCC